rnacentral:tRNA from 1 species
CGGGGUGUAGCGCAGUUUGGUAGCGCAUCUGCUUUGGGAGCAGAGGGUCGGGAGUUCGAAUCUCUUCACCCCGACCA